AUGAAGCCUCAUACCAGCGUCGUCAGACCUAAACUGAUGUCACUGCCAGCUGAAGCUCCUCUGAUAAUACAGGACGUUACAGACGCGCGAGCCACGCGUCCUUCAAACCUCAUCUCCAGUCCUCCAGUGUCCGGAUGUUCCACGGCUGCUGAAGCCAGGCUGAAUGUUUUCUCAGCGACACGGAAAUGCCCACGCAGUCCGAGCGAUUCCAGGGAUCUAAAGCCUCACAGUGUCAGCUCUAUUACUAAAGGGCCACUGCUUCCAUUUCUAGCCAAAAAUCGCUCAAACGUAACCUCACAAAACAAUGUGUCUGACAGUGAUAUUUCUGGACGGCAUUUCUUAUUUGAUAAACGAUGGAGAAAUGGAACUUACUUCACUAAUGGCAUUGAAGGUGAUGUUCUGAUAAACCACAACCCUACAAAUCCACUGUCUCAGGACUUCCAUGUGUAUCGCUCUCACAAUCUAACCAGAUUCGCCCACCGCAAAGAACUCUGCCUGCGCGACCCAAGACCACUUAUUUGCGGGUCUGAUUAUCUGGCUUCAUUUCCAUCAGUUCUGUUACCAGCCACCACCCCAUCUGUCAGUGGACGGCUCUGUUUAUCACAAAACUAUAAAAACAGAUUAAGGAUGAAAACCAGAGCACGAAAUCUCUUCGAUGGCGCUAACAAAAGUGAGCAUUUCAGCUUUAAGCUUAAAGCGAAUGUUUAAAUGCUUAUUAGUUAUCAUCAGUUAACUGAUUUAUUGUCUUGUGAUAACUCAUCUAAAUAGACUAUUUUUGAAAGCUUAUUUUUGUCAGUUGGCACUGGUAAAUUGAGCACAUAGCAUGUGUUAUUUAGGUGUUUGCUCAGUGUUUAACAGAUGAGAUCUUUCACUUCACUCCUGUUACAGAUUCAGACCACAGACUCUGAUGAAUUUCACAUGUGCAUGUGUUUUUCAUGAGCUCACAAACGUUGAAUACACACACUUAACUCACUUAACACUUAAGCACACACACACACACACACACACACACACACACACACACACACACACACACACCUCCCACCAGGCUGUAGGCCAUUAUUGAAAUUCCCAGUCUUUUGUAUGAGGUGAGAAGAGCGUUACCUGUGUAAACCUGAAUAAGCAAACUGUGCUCUUGUCUAACCAGCCUGUGGGCCGGUAAUUGUUUUUCAGCCCAAUCGUACCCUGAUCCACACCUGGGUGCCUCGGCCUCUUUUGUUCAGAGGCUCACAGAGAUUUCUUGUCUGGAAGCAGAAACAGUGCGGCAGGAGAGAAUGAAGAGACUCAAAAAGAUCAAUAGGCAGGAUUCUUAAUCGGAGUUCAUUAGCCAAAGAGGAAACACUUGACUCUUGAAAUCACAGCUGUGCCAAGAUGGAGCAAAUAAAAUCAAGGAGAAAAACUUGAGAGGUACAGAGUGUUAAUGCACAGUCCCUGUACUGUAACUGAAAUGAAAACGAUGACGUCAGCAACAAUUUAUAUCUCUGGUGUAAAACUAUCAGGGAUUGUUGAAUUUAAAAUCAAAUUUACAUGAAAGUGUAUCAUGUACUCGCCAAGAAUAACUGCCUUAACAUUGCCUUAAACUACAGUGAUGAUGGAAUUAUAGCACUUAUAUACGUUUUCUAAAUCAUGUUGCAUAUAUGAAAAAACUUUGUGUACUGCCGUGUGUACUUAAUAUGAUCAUAUCCAAAUAAACAUAUUUUGUCAAAGAUACAAAUUCUUUCAUUGACAUCUAAAAGUUAAGAACUGCAUUAUAAAAUAAUAUGAAACUCUAAGUGUAUUAUAUUGUUGAUUGAUAGUUUUGAUAGUCUUGUAUAUCAGCCAAUAGCAAUCACAAACAAAUGGCUGCUGUAUGUUUUAGCUGAUAAUACACUGUACAUUAGAGAUACAUCAGUAGUUGAACUCAGGUUGGAGGCUGCACCUUUGUGCAGGUUUUCCUGGAAAGCGUGGGAGAGCUCCAUUCUACACCAAAGUGUCUUUUGUCAAAAGGAAAAGGGCCAGGUUGAUUCGGUUCAAGACUAGGUUGGCACAUUCUGGGCAGAGAGAAGAACGAUAAUGUCUUUUUGGCUUCAAGACUUCACCUGCAAUGAGAAGGAUAUUAUUAUUUUAGGUUAUUAUUAUUAUUAUUGUUAAAUAAUGACAUAUACACA
ensembl:lncRNA